rnacentral:rRNA from 1 species
GAUGAACGCUAGCUACAGGCUUAACACAUGCAAGUCGAGGGGAAACGACAUCGAAAGCUUGCUUUUGGUGGGCGUCGACCGGCGCACGGGUGAGUAACGCGUAUCCAACCUGCCCACCACUUGGGGAUAACCUUGCGAAAGUAAGACUAAUACCCAAUGAUAUCCCACGAAGGCAUCCGAAUGGGAUUAAAGAUUUAUCGGUGAUGGAUGGGGAUGCGUCUGAUUAGCUUGUUGGCGGGGUAACGGCCCACCAAGGCUACGAUCAGUAGGGGUUCUGAGAGGAAGGUCCCCCCACAUUGGAACUGAGACACGGUCCAAACUCCUACGGGAGGCAGCAGUGAGGAAUAUUGGUCAAUGGGCGAGAGCCUGAACCAGCCAAGUAGCGUGCAGGACGACGGCCCUAUGGGUUGUAAACUGCUUUUAUAAGGGAAUAAAGUGAGUCUCGUGAGACUUUUUGCAUGUACCUUAUGAAUAAGGACCGGCUAAUUCCGUG